rnacentral:rRNA from 1 species
ACUCAAAGGAAUAGACGGGGACUUGCACAAGCAGUGGAUUAUGUGGUUUAAUUCGACGUCAAACGAAGAACCUCACCAGGGUUUGAAACCUAGUUGAAGACUAGAGGAAACUUUAGUCGCCUCACAAGGGCAAUUAGGCAGGUGAUGCAUGGCCGUCGUCAGUUCGUGGUUUGAAUUGUUCCCUUAAGUGGGGUAACGAACGCAACCCUCGUUGCCUGUUACAAGUGUCAGGCGAGACUGCCCAGCUUUCAGUUUUUGAAAGAGAAAUUUUUCGAAGAUUGGAAGCUGGGAGGAAGGCGAGGAUGACGCCAGGUCAGCAUGUCCCUCUGAUAUCCUGGGCUACACACAUAAUAUAAUGCGGCAUACAACGCGACGCAAUAGGGUAACCUGGAGCAAAUCGUUAGAAAGUGCCGCUAAGUUCGGAUUGAGGUCUGCAACUCGACCUCAUGAAGCUAGAAUUGCUAGUAAUCGCGGGUCAGCUAUACCGCGGUGAAUACGUUCUCAAGUCUUGUACACACCGCCCGU